CAAUAGCGUAUAUUUAAGUUGUUGCAGUUAAAAAGCUCGUAGUUGGAUUUCGGGUAGGAUUUGCCGGUCCGUCUUUGAGAUGUGUACUGGUAAGUCCUAUCUUCUUGUCGGGGACCAGCUCCUGGGCUUCACUGUCCGGGACUGGGAGCCGACGAAGUUACUUUGAGUAAAUUAGAGUGUUCAAAGCAAGCCUACGCUCUGAAUAUAUUAGCAUGGAAUAACACGAUAGGACUCUGGCUUAUCUUGUUGGUCUGUGAGACCAGAGUAAUGAUUAAGAGGGACAGUCGGGGACAUUCGUAUUUCAUUGCCAGAGGUGAAAUUCUUGGAUUUAUGAAAGACGAACUUCUGCGAAAGCAUUUGGCAAGGAUGUUUUCAUUAA
rnacentral:rRNA from 1 species